rnacentral:rRNA from 1 species
CUCCGUAGGUGAACCUGCGGAGGGAUCAUUACAGAGUUCAUGCCCUUCGGGGUAGACCUCCCACCCUGUGUAUUUAUACCUUUGUUGCUUUGGCGGGCCGCUGGGCUUUGGCGGGCCGCUGGGCUUUGGCCCGGCUCCUGGCUYCGGCUGGGGAGCGCCUGCCAGAGGACCCUAAAACCUGAAUGUUAGUGUCGUCUGAGUACUAUAUAAUAGUUAAAACUUUCAACAACGGAUCUCUUGGUUCUGGCAUCGRUGAAGAACGCAGCRAAAUGCGAUAAGUAAUGUGAAUUGCAGAAUUCAGUGAAUCAUCGAAUCUUUGAACGCACAUUGCGCCCCUUGGUAUUCCGGGGGGCAUGCCUGUUCGAGCGUCAUUACAACCCUCAAGCUCUGCUUGGUAUUGGGCAUCACCGGUUCUGGUGUGCCCUAAAAUCAGUGGCGGCGCCGUCUGGCUCUAAGCGUAGUACAUACUCUCGCUAUGGACGCCCGGCGGAUGCCUGCCAGCAACCCCCAAUUUAUCAAGGUUGACCUCGGAUCAGGUAGGGAUACCCGCUGAACUUAAGCAUAUCAAUAAGCGGAGGA